GACGAACGCUGGCGGCGUGCUUAACACAUGCAAGUCGAACGGUAAGGCCCUUCGGGGUACACGAGUGGCGAACGGGUGAGUAACACGUGGGUGAUCUGCCCUGCACUUCGGGAUAAGCCUGGGAAACUGGGUCUAAUACCGGAUAGGACCCUGGGAUGCAUGUCCUGGGGUGGAAAGCUUUUGCGGUGUGGGAUGGGCCCGCGGCCUAUCAGCUUGUUGGUGGGGUAAUGGCCUACCAAGGCGACGACGGGUAGCCGGCCUGAGAGGGUGACCGGCCACACUGGGACUGAGAUACGGCCCAGACUCCUACGGGAGGCAGCAGUGGGGAAUAUUGCACAAUGGGCGCAAGCCUGAUGCAGCGACGCCGCGUGAGGGAUGACGGCCUUCGGGUUGUAAACCUCUUUCAGCACCGACGAAGCGCAAGUGACGGUAGGUGCAGAUGAAGGACCGGCCAACUACGUGCCAGCCGCCGCAGUAA
rnacentral:rRNA from 1 species